GGCCACCCACUGCAGCAGGUGGUGGCAGCGAGGUGAGCCACAGUGUGGCAUGCCCCAGCCUCCAGACCUGUGGCAGCGGUGCUCCCUUUUCUCCUCCUGUAGAAGGGCAGGGAGCAGCUCUGACUGCCUUGCCCAGGUCUUACCACUUUGGCGACACUUCCGUCUCUGUCGUGGCCACCCAUGUUCUGAUUGGAUGAGAGAAAACCUCUAAGCCUAUUCUGAUUGGACUUUAUUAUCAUGUUCUGAUUGGUUAGCCUAAGAUCUGCUCUCAUCCAAUCAGAACAUGUAGUCCAGGAACCUUGGUAUAUAAAGCAUGCUAAGGCGGCCUUAGACCAUUCCAGGCUCUUCUGAGUUUGUUGGUUCUGCUGGUCCAUAUCGGGCUUGGAAGCCCGACCUGCGGCAUGCUGGAGGCUGGAGCUUGAGCUUCACUGAAGUUGGUGGCCACGAGGAAGACUGCAGCUAGAGUGGUAGAAAAGCAGCGGGGUAGGUGCAUAUCCGCAGCUACUCUGCCUGCAGCAGGGGGCGGGUUGGGAACACUAUCAGCUGCUGGCACAGCCCAUAGCGGGGGCGGGUUUGGUGAGCCAUGGUUGGGUGGGGCUACAAUGCCUGCAGCCAGAGGCAGGUUAGGGAUGCUACCGGGUGCUGCAUUGCCUGAGGCUGGGGGUGGGUUGGGGAUGGUAUAGGGGGCUGCACUGAUUGCUCUAGCUAGGAUUUCCAGUACUAUGAUAGGUAACAGUGGUGACAGUGGACAUCCUUAUCAUGUUCCAGAUGUUAGAGAAAAGGUUUUCCGUUUUUCCCCAUUCCCUAUGAUUCUAGCUGUUGGUCUCUCAUAUAUGGGCUUUUAUGUUGAGGUAUGUUUCUUCUGUACCCAGUGUUUUGAGAAUUUAUAGCAUGAAGAGAUGUUGAAUGUUAUCAAAUGCUUUUUCAGCUUCAGUGGAAGUAAUCAUAUGGUUUUGUCCUUUAUUCAGUUGAUGUGAUGUAUCACACUGAUUGUGUGUUGAACCGUUCUUGCAUCCCAGGGAUAAAUCCCACUUGAUCAUGAUGAAUUAUCUUUUCAAUGUAUUGUUUAAUUUGCUUUGCUGGUAUUUGGUUGAGGAUUUCUGCAUCAAUAUUAAUUAGAGAUACUGGUCUACUUUUUUGAUGUCUUUGUCUGAUUUUGGUAUCAGGGUAAUAAUGGCCUCAUAGAAUAAGUUUGGAAGUAUUCCCUCAUCUGUUUUUCAAAAUAGCUUGAGUAGGAUUGGUACUAGUUCUUUAAAUGUUUGGUAGAAUUCAGUAGUGAAGCCAUCAGUUCCUGGGCUUUUUUUUACUGGGAGACUUUUUAUGAUGGCUUCAAUGUUAUUGCUACUGAUCUGUUCUGGUCUUGGAUGUUUUAAUGGUUUAAUCUUGAUAGGUUGUUUAUGUCUAAGAAUUUAUCAGUUUCUCUAGGUUUUCCAAUUUAUUGGCAUGUAGUAGUAAGUUAGGAUCCUUUGAAUUUCUGCAGUAUCCGUUGUAAUGCCUCCUUUUUAUCUCUGAUUUUAUUUGAAUUUUCUCUUUCUUUUUAGCUAGCCUGGCUAAA
rnacentral:lncRNA from 1 species